rnacentral:rRNA from 1 species
GCUCAAAUUUGAAAUCUCACAGGGUUACCUGUGCGAAUUGUAGUUUAGAGAAGCGUUUUCGGGGGCAGCUUGGGUACAAGUCCUUUGGGAUGAGGCAUCAUAGAGGGUGAGAAUCCCGUUUAUGACCCAAUGUCUGCUCCUAUGUGAUACGCUUUCCAAGAGUCAGGUAGUUUGGGAUUGCUGCCUAAAAUGGGUGGUAAAUACCAUCUAAAGCUAAAUAUUGGCGAGAGACCGAUAGCGAACAAGUACCGUGAGGGAAAGAUGAAAAGAACUUUGAAAAGAGAGUUAAACAGUACGUGAAAUUGCCAAAAGGGAAACGCUUGGGGCCAGUAUUGCUUGCAGGUAAUCAUCUGCAUGAUCCUGAAAAGGUUAGUGCAGUGCACUUGCUUGCAGGCAGGUCAACAUCAGUUUGGUCUGGGGUAAAAAGCCAGAGGAAGGUAGCUUGGGCUUCGGUCUGAGUGUUAUAGCCUCUGGUCAUGCCUUGGACUGGACUGAGGUCUGCAGCGUCAUUUGGAUACCCAAUCGCCUCCUGAACCUUGUUUUUAGACAGCAUGCUGACUAAGGGCAAGGCUAGGGAGCCCGGUUGGUUUAUCACACCAACGCUUAGGAUGUUGAGGAAAUGGCUCCAAACGACCCGUCUUGAAACACGGACCAAGGAGUCUAACAUAUAUGCGAGUAUUUGGGUGGCAAACCCUUAUGCGAAAUGAAAGUGAACUUAGGUGGGAUCUUCGGUGCACCAUCGACCGGUCUGGAUUUUUUUGAUAGAUCUGAGUAAGAGCAUAUCUGUUGGGACCCGAAAGAUGGUGAACUAUGCCUGAAUAGGGUGAAGCCAGAGGAAACUCUGGUGGAGGCUCGUAGCGAUUCUGACGUGCAAAUCGAUCGUCAAAUUUGGGU